rnacentral:lncRNA from 1 species
ACUUUCCUUCAUUUUUUCUCCCCAUUUUUCCUCCACUUUCUUCCCAAUUUUCCCAUUUUUUUCCUCAUUUCUCUCCCCAAUUUUCCCUCAUUUUUCUACAAUUUUUCCUCCACCUUUCCCCCAUUUUUCCUGAUUUUUUCUCCCCAUUUUUUCUCCCAUUUCUUGCCCAUUUCUCCCCAUUUCCUUCCCCAUUUUUUCCCACAUUUCUCUUCCAUUUCCCCCAUUUUUUCUCAAUUUCUCUCCCCAUUUUUUCCUCAUUCUCCUCCCACUUUUCCCUCAUAUUCCUACCCUUUUUUCCAUUUCCUUCCCAAUUUUCCUCACGUUUUCUCCCCAAUUUUCCCACAAUUUUUUCUCAAUUUCUCCCACAUUUUUCCCCCUUUUUCCUCAUUUCUCUCCCCAAUUUUCACCACAAUUUUCCCUCAUUUUUACCCCAAUUUUCACACUUUCUUCUCUCUUUUUUUCCCCAAUUUUUUCCCCAAUUUUCGCCUCAUUCUCUCCCCAUUUCUCCCCUCCCUUGAGCCCAUUUUGGGUUCAAUUCCUGCAUUUUUGGCUCACUCACCCCAUGGAAGUUUCUCCCCAUUUCUCCCACACUUUCCCCCAUUUUCUCUCUAAUUUUCCUCCAUUUGCUCCCCAUUUUUUAUUAUUUUCCCCCAUUUUUUUCCCCC